GAGGAUGUAGCUUAGUGGUAGAGCAUCUAUUUGGCAUACACGAUGUCCUGGUUUUAUUUUCCUGCACUCUCU
rnacentral:tRNA from 1 species